ACAAGUACCGUGAGGGAAAGUUGCAAAGCACUUUGAAGAGAGAGUUAAAGAGGACGUGAAACCGGUAAGGUGGAAACGGAUAGAGUCGGCGUAUCAUUCAUGUAUUCAGUUACAUUAUUUUUAUGUUGUGACCUCUGAGCUCCAGAUUGGGACAGAGGGAAUCAGCAUAAUUUUUUGUGGUGCUUUUACUUGAUUGGUGCUUGGGGAUGUUUGAGGCAGAUUUGUUUCCGUCGUUUUGAGGCCAGCUUGCUGGUACCCAAACGGUGUUAGCAUUUUUUGUCUUGGGCAUUUGAGUAUGGCUCACGUGUAUUUAUUGGACAGAUCUGAGUGUAAGUUACGGUCGCAUGCGACACGUGCUUUUCAAUUAGUUCGGUCCAGUUAAUGCUCUCGUACUCGUUUCCCAUGUAAAAGCCGGUCAUCUAUCCGACCCGUCUUGAAACACGGACCAAGGAGUUUAUCGUGUGCGCAAGUUUUUGGGUGUUAAAAACUUAAAAGCGAAAUGAAAGUAAAUGACUCUUUAGAGUCUGAUGUGCGAUCUUGUAAAAAAGUGUAGCAUGGCCCCAUUCUAACUGUUUACAGUAGGGUGGCGGAAGAGCGUACGCGGUGAGACCCGAAAGAUGGUGAACUAUUCCUGAGCAGGACGAAGCCAGAGGAAACUCUGGUGGAAGUCCGAAGCGGUUCUGACGUGCAAAUCGAUCGUCUGACUUGGGUAUAGGGGCGAAAGACUAAUCGAACCAUCUAGUAGCUGGUUCCUUCCGA
rnacentral:rRNA from 1 species